UCCACUUUCACAAAUCAUCCUAUUUCAUCUUAUCUUUUCCUGAAUAAUGUAUACUCUAUCAUUCUCACUCCCUCUCCUUAUCUACUGGCUGCUUCCCUACUGCUAAACAGCCAUGUCUCUUCCAACCACAAAAAAUUUUCACUUACAUCAUCCAAUCCCACUCAGUAUCACCUUAUAUCUCUCUUGUGUAGCUUAUUACUUGAGAAGGCUUCCGCCUGUUCUGCCGAAGCAGUCUUCACAUGCUGGGUGAGCAAAGCCCUGGUUCACCAGGGGUCGAAGACCCGAUGGCUACCCUCACAAGGUUUAGCCGGCCUGUCAAAGCUGUUGCCCGGGGUGUGGCCGCUGCCGCAUGUUAGCAGCUACUGGGAGCCACAAGUGAGAGCUGGGUGUCAGGUGAGGAUCAGAGGCUGGAGAGCUGCCCUAGGAGGGCACAACAAGCCCUCCAUACCAAGGGUGCUACCCCUCCCUGAGCACCCCAUAUACCCCAUACACCCGGCUGAGAUGGCGACGCAUCAAAGCACUGUGGAGUGCUUAGGGUGUGUUGGAGCACAAAGGACAACACAGCCAUCCAAAGCAGCUGAGGAAGUCUCCAGACGUAACAAUUUUUCAUGCCAAUGGACCCAGGCUUCCAACGCCGAGAGAGUGGGACUGUCUCUGUACAUCGGCUUUUCCACUUAAAUCUUCACGCACAAGUAUCUUUGUGCACACUCAUCUAUCCUAACCCUGUCCACCCUCUUCAAGACCUGCGGUGAUGGGGGAGUGGCAAUGCAACAGGUGGAGGUGACCACUGGCAGUUGUAGUCACAAUCCUGCACGUAGGCGGCCCAUGGACCAGUGGUCGCUCGGCCCUGUGGGCAGCAGGGACGUUCGGCAGCAUCCUGGGCGACUGAGCAGCCCUCUCUAGGACAGCACUGCUCACCCUAAUCAAGGGAGGGGACUAGAAAAGGUGUCCCAAACAUUGCCUGCCCUACAAACACCCGGUCAGCACACCGUGGCUGGCAGGUCAUCCCUUUAAGCAGUCGAAAU
rnacentral:lncRNA from 1 species